GAGUUUGAUCCUGGCUCAGAACGAACGCUGGUGGCAUGCCUAACACAUGCAAGUCGAACGAGAAGCAUCUUCGGAUGUGGAAAGUGGCGCACGGGUGAGUAAUACAUAGAAAUCUACCUCGCACUGGGGGAUAACUAUUGGAAACAGUAGCUAAUACCGCAUACGCCAUAUUGGGAAAACUACGGUGGUGUGAGAUGAGUCUAUGCUUGAUUAGCUAGUUGGUGGGGUAAAAGCUCACCAAGGCGACGAUCAAUAGCGGGUUUGAGAGGAUGAUCCGCCACACUGGAACUGAGACACGGUCCAGACUCCUACGGGAGGCAGCAGUGGGGAAUAUUGCGCAAUGGGCGAAAGCCUGACGCAGCAAUGCCACGUGAGUGAUGAAGGUCUUAGGAUUGUAAAGCUCUUUUAGUAGGGAAGAAAAUGACGGUACCUACAGAAAAAGUCCCGGCUAACUCCGUGCCAGCAGCCGCGGUAAUACGGAGGGGGCGAGCGUUGUUCGGAUUUACUGGGCGUAAAGGGUCCGUAGGUGGAUAAGUUAGUCAGAUGUGAAAGCCCCGCGCUUAACGUGGGAAUUGCAUUUGAAACUGCUUGUCUAGAGUAUUGGAGAGGAUAGUGGAAUUACCAGUGUAGAGGUGAAAUUCGUAGAUAUUGGUAGGAACAUCGGUGGCGAAGGCGACUGUCUGGACAAUUACUGACACUGAGGGACGAAAGCGUGGGGAGCAAACAGGAUUAGAUACCCUGGUAGUCCACGCCGUAAACGAUGAGAGCUAGCUGACGGGGCCUUAAGCUUCGGUGGCGCAGCUAACGCAUUAAGCUCUCCGCCUGGGGAGUACGGUCGCAAGAUUAAAACUCAAAGGAAUUGACG
rnacentral:rRNA from 1 species